GUGUGAAGUUCUGUAGGUAGCUGGAGAUUCAGGUCUAGAACUUAGAAGUAACCUUUUAGAAUUUUAAAUUCCUAAGGAUUAGACAAUUCUGGAAAUCUAUGGUUUUUCUCAUUAGAUAUUGAAUUUUCCAUCUCUGUAUAUUAUCAAGCAUCAGUGCUUGAGUGGAUAUUCAUCCUAUGAUUAGGUAUUCAUAAGAAGAUGACCUCUGUGAUCUUUCCCAGCUCUUAAAUUCCUUUACUCUGUGAUAUUCUUAGGGUCCGUUUGAUUGAGAAGUCAAGAAGAAUAGUGCAUCAUCUACCAGAUGUCACCCAGAACUUUGUGUCACUUGGGUACACAUUGCGAGGCUUCAGGUGAUGUCUCAAGUGUGGGGAUGUUUGGCAUCAGUCUUCCUGACAUUCUGUUGCCCUAGUAACAAAAUAUAGGAGAAGCCCUGGUUGAGCUCUGCAUAGCCACCUACAUCCUGUUUCUUUUUCAAUAGAACACAGGUAGGUGGGGAAGAGCCCCAGGCUUCCCUUUGUUAUGUUGCCUAGGCAAUGGUCACAGACUUCUUCAUGUUCUGGAACUAAGAUAGCAGGAGGCAGGCAGGCAGGCACCCAUGGGAACUCCACACGCCCACCCGAAUCUUCCUGCCUAGGAAAUAAAACAUACCAACAGCAAGAGCUUGGGUUGGCGAAAUCAAUACAAAGUUUUUCUUUGGAAGUGGGAGAGUGAAAGGAAGAAGAGAUGGUAAAGGAAGAGGAGGCAAAUGAGGCAAAGGAAGAGAGUAUGAAUUAAAGAGGAGGAAAAGAAGGAAGAAAUAGGAAUAAGGAAGGAGAGAAGAAAAGGAUAAAGAGAAAACAAAAGAAACAAAGAAGGAAGGAAGCAAGGAUGAAGAGGAAAUGGAAAGAUGAAGAGAAGAGAAAGAAUUAAGAGGAGAGGAAGGGAGGAAGAAAAGAAAGAAGGAAGAAACAAAGGAACAAAGGAGGGAGGAAGAAGAAAAGAGAUGGAAAAACAUCAUGAAUAAAUUGGUCUGAUAUUUCUGGGCA
rnacentral:lncRNA from 1 species